rnacentral:lncRNA from 1 species
GCGUGCGUCUGAGAGAGAGAGAGACCGAGUGGGAGAGAUAAGGAAGGAUUUGGGCCAUUUUAUGUGGGCCGAAUUUUGGGCUUCUUUUUAUUUUAAGUUGGGCCGAAAUUUUUAAAGAUUUGGGUUUUUUUUUAUGUUGGGCUUAAUUUUAAUUUAAUUGAAUUGGGCCAAAUUUUUGGGCUCUAUUUAUUUUAAUAAUUGGGCCGAAAAUUUUACCUCUUAUUUAUUUUCUUUGGGCCUUGUUGUAUUUAUUUUCAUGUGGGCCUUUAUUGUUUCUCUUUGGGCCGAGUUUACUAAUGAAAGCCCAACUGCAUUUUAUUUUAAUUGGGCUUUAUUUUAAUUUAUUGGGCCUUUGUUAUAUUAUUUCGUUGG